rnacentral:piRNA from 1 species
UGGAAGUGUCCUGUUGCCCAACC